rnacentral:rRNA from 1 species
CCUACGGGAGGCAGCAGUGGGGAAUAUUGCACAAUGGGCGCAAGCCUGAUGCAGCGACGCCGCGUGAGGGAUGACGGCCUUCGGGUUGUAAACCUCUGUUAGCAUCGAAGAAGCGAAAGUGACGGUAGGUGCAGAGAAAGCGCCGGCUAACUACGUGCCAGCAGCCGCGGUAAUACGUAGGGCGCGAGCGUUGUCCGGAAUUAUUGGGCGUAAAGAGCUUGUAGGCGGUUGGUCGCGUCUGCUGUGAAAGGCUGGGGCUUAACCCUGGUUUUGCAGUGGGUACGGGCUAACUAGAGUGCAGUAGGGGAGACUGGAAUUCCUGGUGUAGCGGUGGAAUGCGCAGAUAUCAGGAGGAACACCGAUGGCGAAGGCAGGUCUCUGGGCUGUAACUGACACUGAGGCGCGAAAGCGUGGGGAGCAAACAGGAUUAGAUACCCGGGUAGUC